GUCUGUAAGAUGACAGUAACUCGGGAGAGGAGCCGGCAGCCGUACGACCUACUAACACGUUACCGUGAGCCGUCACGCUUCGAGCCGCAGCGCGCUCAAACUCCUCAAGGGCAGCAGCCCCCGGGCCGCCCCGCUCCUGCCAACAGUCAGGAAUUAACUUCAGCACCUUCUGUGUCUUUAUGAAUUGCCUCAGAUUAAUAUUUAACACAAAUGCAUUCAGCUUUUGGUAUGCUACCAGAAGACCUAUGUCCUCUUUCACACUGUUUCAGAUGAUACAAGAAAUGUGCUUGAACUCUGAUAUCUGACUCGACAAAGGAAUGACUGAAUUUAAAAAGAGAUUUAUCAGGUAAAGACUACCAGUAAAUCUAAACAGAAAAUGCUGAAAAGAUUAUGCAGCCAUUGCUCCAUAUUAAGGCAAAAUUCAGCCCAGCUCACCACUUUGCCUAGGCAACAGGGCAGAGCCUUUAGAGAAGGAAGUGUGCCAAAGGAGAUGUGGCAAUGCCUUGCAAACAUAAAACAGGCUGCUCUGGGAGGAAGAGGAGGCACGUGGCAUCGGCUAGCACAGACUGAGUGGUAAUGGCCUUAGGAGCAGCUGAAUUUAUGACUGUUUUCAGCAGUUACUCUAUGUAAGGUUUCUGUGGUGUCUCUGGUGAAUUUUAAACCAGCACAAAAGAAAGUGUGGGAAGAUUGCUGCCUGCGUGGCCCACGCCUGCCGUGUUUGGAGCAGGCCUAUGCCAAUUAGCCUGUUCAGCCCUCAGGGUGUAAUAAUGUAAUUGUUGUUACCAUUAGUACCAAUUAUAGGAAUUAGAAAGAAACAAACCUUUAUACAGGAGAAAGUAGAAUAUGUUUGCGGAUAAACCAAAGGGGAGUGCUUUCUUUUACUAGCUCUAUGACCCCCAAAUCAAUUAAGCUGGUUACGUGUUCAGCAGUCAGCAUGGUCAGUAAUUAGUAGUUUCUCCACAGUUUCAAGCUUAAAUACCACUCCUGGUGAUCACUGUCUUCUGAGAGACUUCAGAUCUGGGUACUGACCUAUCCUAGAGCAUCUGGGAGUAGCCUUAUAUCAGUCAGUGAAGGAAGCUAGGGGGAGUUGAAUGCUGUCCAGAGGCUGUCUAUGAAGUAGCCACAGGAGAAUCUGUGUUUUUGUUUUUCUCCUGAACAGUCUCUUCUUGGAUCUUAGACAAGGCUUAAACGAGAUUUUUGAAAAAAAGCUGCAAGAAAAAUUUUGUGUAAUAGUAUGUAUGCAAUUAUUCUCUUCCAUAAGCAGAAACAUGCAGAGUGACACCAUUUGGUUAUUACCAACUAAUCUGUGGUCAAAUUUCUGAAGUAUUUUAUCAUUGCUCUUUGCACUUCUAUAGCAGAACGUAUUAACACAUUCAGUCUCCACCUUCAUGGACAAAGAUUUACCCAAGUCCACAUCCUGGUAGUGAGUUUUGCACCACUGUAAAACAAAUCACGUUUGUGAAAUUCAGAUUAUGGGAAACGUUCUGGAACAUUGCUAUAAGAGCUGCAGAGCCAAUGUGGGCUACAACUGGUCUAGACAAGAUCUGUGAACAAGUUGAAGCAGUUAAGUGCUUUUGAGACAUGAGUUUUUCUGUGGAUUUCAGUUGGGAAUUAUACGCCAAAUUAGGAGCCAACUGUUCUGGUACACUGAGCAGCGUUGAGCUUUUAGGUCUUAAUUUCAUUCCUUGAAUUUUGUAAAUGGGCAUUUUUUGACUCGCAUAGAAGGUAUUUAUUAGAACAAUUCCCCCUAGCCAGUACUACAGGGAUUGCUCUACCAGAUGCCUGAUACUGUCUAGUCUUCUGUUUCCAACAAGGACUGUAGAGCACCCCAUAGGGAGGGUUGCUUAGAAAGGGAUUUUCUCAGAAAUCUCUUUAUUUCUGGAAUUUUAUGCUCUGGAGUAUGAGAAAAAUUAUCUGUAAUGGCUUUUUAUUCUAUCAGUGUGAUCUAACUGCAAUCAUGACUGUUUCCAGUCAAGGUUUAAGCUUUCCUAGAUUUCAAAAUACUUUGAUCUCAGGUAUGAAAUAGUGUACCUUAGAUUGACAGAUAAAUUAUAUAUGUAUAUAUUUAAUUGGAUUAUUUGUUUUAAAUCUGGAGCUGUUUAAGAUUCAUCCCCUACUCUGAGUACUGGAAAUGAGAGGAGGUGGCAGAGUCCAGUUUGCCUACUCUGUGUCACCAGGCCUCUCUCUCAUGACCACUCCACACGCUUCCAGUCUGGGGAAAAAAUCUCAGCCCCAGUGCCAAAUCUGAGGAAUAUUCCCAUCAAAAUAAAAGAAAACAACUCAACUCUGUGUAAAGUUGUCCUCUAAUACACCGCAUUUUCCAACAGCAGAGGAAGCGGGAUCAGGGCAAAGUGAUGCUGGUGUGCAUGGUGUUGUCCCUUCCUAUCCAUUGGGACCUAACGUGUGCUGCAAGAGCACUGCAGGGGCCACCAUGUAAAAUAUGCAUAGGUUGCCCUAAAGUAUGCCAAGCAUCAGGCUGGCACCCUCAUGAGAUGCUACAGAAAUAGCUAUGGGUCGUCUCUGUCCCAUCCGGUAGCUGUGGUGGGUACAGCUCUGUGGCACUGGUGUGGCACUCGGAGAGACAGCUGGGCCGCAGACCUCCACAGGAUGACAGUGGUGGGAAGGUGGCCUGGGGAGAGCUGCCACACGCGGCCGAUUCAAGCCUCUCGCUAUGGGGUCAGAACAACUGGUGCCUGGCAGGAAACGGGUGGAAAGAUUGCAAAAGACACAGGUAUCGGCCGGUGAUCUGUGCUGGAAGGUGGCGAGCGAGUAACCUUGCUCCAUUUUGUGGUAGUGCUUCACCUGCAAGUGCCUGCUGUGAGUGAAAUUGUCUGAGCUGGUGCCGCACUUUAUCAAUUUCACUCUCAGCAGGCUCCGCAGGUGAAGUAUUUCAUUGCAGGAGUCAGACUCCGCUCUCCCCUUCGCAGUCUGAAAUAGAAAGAGGGGACAGGAAAGAAGGUAAUAAAUGGCCAGAGAAGAGCAAAAGCAGGGCAGAGAGCAGCAAGAAGCAGCGUGCGUGUUAAAUGGUACUGGUAAUUCAGUGCACCUAACCCUCUAAUUCUGGUGGAAUCCAACACUUAAAAGGGCUUUACUUAACUUUUUUAAACCUUACGCUUGGAAAUAAAAGAAGUAAGAGAACUUCACGGCUGGAAGUGAAAAAUUAUGGUGAGUUUUUAUAUUCCCAUGUUUAAAAUGCCGUGUAAGAUGAUGUGGGUAGAACUAUAAGAUAAUAUUCUCAGUCUUCACCCUAACAGUGGCAAAUAGGGGCUUUUUUUUCUGAGAGAAAUAUAGGCCAGGCUUUUUUUGUUGUUUUUUUUUUCUUUCCUGAGUUCUGCAUUUCAGAAAUGAUGUGCUGUGAUUUCGUUGUUGCCCUUUCUUAAGAAAACCUGCAUCUGAUUUUCAGCGUUGCUGGUGCCGCUUCCCUUAACUUCAGAGAGAAGUUCAGCAUUCAAGAUGAGAACCAAGCAAAACUGGUAACCACAUGGGAUUGUUUCACUACUAGGAUAAAGCUCAUGUGAUUCAGGGGUCAAUGGGAUGUCAACACAGCGUUAGAGCUCACAGGUCCAUCUGCUUCCAGGCAGUUACAUCCUAUGUUUUACAGGAAUAGAAGACAGCACAGAGCUAACGUGUUUAAGCUGGCUCUCAGUUCCUACAGGAGCUUCCUUCUUGAAAGUCCUUGCAAAGCUGUUAGCCCAUCACUUCAGCUGCAGUGAGCCAAUUCCCUGGGCUAGGUCCCAGCAUGCAGCAGUCUUACACUCUGUGGCUUGGGGAAUUGAUGCACCCUUUUGCUGUAGGAUACAUCUGACAGCAUUAGACUCUGUCCCAGUUACACGUUUGGGAAGGGACUGCACCAUUCUCUGAAGUUCCAGGGAGAAAGAGUGGCUUUUUGUCACAGCGAGUGCCCAGUGACAGGAGGCUGUACCUGCUGGCUUUAAGCUUGCUGCUGUCUAAUGUGGGAAAACUGGUUGAAGGGCUGUUGCUGGAGGAAGGCAGUCAGAGUGGAAGAGCUCAGCUCUUGUGCUUCAGGAGAGAAGGGAAUGAAUGCAAUGCAAUAAUGAACUUAAAACAGAAGACUUCAACCCACUCCAAGAAUUGCUAAAUGCAGUCUUGUGGAAAGGAAUUUUAAUGGGAAAAGGUGCCCUGGAGAACUGCUGGUUCCUAAAAGAGACACUGAAUAUCGGAUGAAAAGCUGCCAUGAUACAGGAGGCUCACAGCAAGUGUGGGGAGAGACAGCUAUGGCUGCAAAGGAAGAUCUUUAAUGACCCGACGAUGAAAAUGACGGUGCAAAAGGUGGCUUCAUUUCUGCAUGCAGGCAAUACAAGUAAAGCUUUUAGCAGUGUCCCAAGUGAAUCUCAUGGGCGUGCCAGGGAAAUGUGGUCUUCAUUAAACUACUGUAAAGUGGGAAAGAGAAGGCAAGGGAUUGGGUAAGUGUGUGGGAGCAGAAGAGGAAGAAUGAGAGGGAAGGCAGCACAAAUCAGAGUACCUUUUUUUUUUACUAUGGAAAUAGUUAUAUGGCCCAAGUUAAAAUGAACAAACAAACAGAGAAAAAAACCAAUAUAAUACUACACAUCUGGUGUUGUAGUGUCAUGCACACACCUUUGUCUUCACAGCAAUGCUAUGCGAUUGUAUAGUGGAACCUGAUUUGCAAGGCUGCUUAAUACAGACCUGACCUUAGCUAAUGAAAAGAUUAAGAUCCUUUGCAUUAAGCUUUUUGUUGAGCCCUCAUCUUCAGAUGAGGGAGAAACCCCAGAAAAACUAUUGCAACUGCUCCAAUGAUGACGUACACAUUUACAUUCUAAAGGGUGGGAUCUCUGAGUGCCAACAUUUGAAUGAUUAAAUAAAUCACGAGGUGCAUUUAAUGGGUGACCUGUAGGGGCUUCACAGCAAGUAGUUUUGUCUGCUCCCACCCUCAAACGGUUUUAAUAAUGUCUUUGACUCCAUUUGCAACCAGACCUCUUUCGUAGGUGCAGCCUUUGUCCUUUGCAAAGCAGUUUGUGAGGAGUGCUUCGAUGUCAGAAGGAGAGUGCCAGGAGCAGGUGGUCCUCCUAUUUGCUUUUCUAUGAGAUCUCCUUAGUACAGGGCUCAGCCUUAACUUCGCAUGCUUAUAAGAUUUUUGUCAUUAAACCCCAACUAGAAAUGAAACGGAGGCUACUCUAAAAGUGAAUCAAAAUAUCAGUCCAUGAGACUAGAAUGUGAAAAAGUGGCGUGCAACAUCACCGAGGAGAGUUAUCUUUGUUGUGUGUAACAGGUUGGUUAGAGGAAUUCUAGAAUCUGCAAAUGACACCCCAACUGCUGUAUUCCGUACCCCAGCAAAGCUGGUAAGGUUACAUGGAUUACAGAUAAACACCAAAUUGCUGCUUUGGUUUUUAUGAUCGGUGGGACAAAGAUGUGAAGAAAAGUCAGUAUAUGUAAUAUAUGAGAGACACAAAUGUUUGCAGUUUUCUUUUGGUGAACAGAUGCAGGUGCUCUGAAUGACCUUUUCUCUGGUAGCGGCAGUACAUUUCCUGGGAGGGUCACCUGGCAUACCCCACAUGAUCACCAUAUAAGAGCAGAAAAUAGAGGCUGUUGUGAAAAGAAUCUCACCUGAUGUGUCCGUUUGCUAACAAGGCAAAUCUCAUGAUACUUGCAAGAAAAAAAUCAUCAGUAAACAAUCC